rnacentral:rRNA from 1 species
GAUUUCUGGUUCGGCGCAUUUGGCCCGUCUCGGUUUACGGGAUUGUGUGCCGACGUGCGCCAUCCAUCCUUCGAGAGAACACUUCUACCCUUCACUGGGUCGGGAGUGCUAUCUCGAUCUUUUACUUUGAAAAAAUUAGAGUGUUUAAAGCAGGCUUGCGCUAUGAAUACAUUAGCAUGGAAUAAUAAUCUAGGACUUUCGGUUCUAUUUUGUUGGUGUUCUGGAGCUGAAGUAAUGAUUGAUAGGGAUAGUUGGGGGUGCUAGUAUUCAAUGGCCAGAGGUGAAAUUCUCGGAUUCCUUGAAGACUAACUUAUGCGAAAGCAUU